AUGGCAGAAGAAUCGGGCAACUACGGCGACUACUACGUCCUCACCAUUGAACCUGAACCAGAUCAGCCUGCCGAUGCCGCCGCCGACGAUCAGACGACCUUUUGGCUGGGCACGCUGGCGAUGUUGGUCUUGCUGGCGGUUUCUGUAGGCUUGGCCAUCUACAUGUGGCGCCUCACUUAUGUUCUGGAGCCUGGAUACUCGGUACGGUUUACUGGCGUCCAAGGGCUCGACCCCUCGCAGAACCCUGCCAUCUCGCCGGCCUUCAACCUCACCGUCCACGUUAACAACAAGCAGCACAUGCGACGAGUCUAUCAGGAGGAGAACACCGUGAUCGUCUACUACGACGAAGGCAGUAGUAACUCCACGACGAGAAGCAUCGGAUGGGGCAAGAUGCCUGCCUUCUGCGUGGAUAGGUGGUCGACGACGGACCUUGACGUGUCCCUGUCUAAUCAGGGCUUGUUCCUCUCUCAGAGGUCGCGGGAGAAGAUGGAGGCCGACCUGAAAAGCGCACAAAUUCAUAUCAGCGUUGAGAUUAAGCCAGCCCAUCCAGAGGAGUCCUCUAAGCCAUGCCUCACCUUGUGUGGUGGCAAGGCCAUCGGCCAGUCCUUCCCAGCACUGUCAGCGAUGCCGAUGCCGAUGCCGUCCAAGUGCAGCACACUGUGUGCGACAGAAAGAAAGUACAUUUACUAA
rnacentral:rRNA from 1 species